ACGCUCGACACCUACGGGAGACAGCAGUGGGGAAUAUUGCACAAUGGGGGAAACCCUGAUGCAGCAACGCCGCGUGAAGGAAGACGGUUUUCGGAUUGUAAACUUCUGUUCUUAGUGAAGAUAGUGACGGUAGCUAAGGAGCAAGCCACGGCUAACUACGUGCCAGCAGCCGCGGUAAUCUGAGCGGGCUGGCAAGGC
rnacentral:rRNA from 1 species